rnacentral:rRNA from 1 species
UUCCGGUUGAUCCUGCCGGACCUGACUGCUAUCGGAUUGAUACUAAGCCAUGCGAGUCUUUGUAGUAAUACAAGGCAGACGGCUCAGUAACACGUAGUCAAUCUACCCUAUGGACGGGGAUAACCUCGGGAAACUGAGAAUAAUACCCGACAGAUCAUUAUGCCUGGAAUGGUUUAUGGUUUAAAUGAUUUUUCGCCGUAGGAUGGGACUGCGGUCUAUCAGCUUGUUGGUGAGGUAAUGGCCCACCAAGGCUAUAACAGAUACGGGCUCUGAGAGGAGAAGCCCGGAGAUGGGUACUGAGACACGGACCCCAGUUCUUAUGGGGCGCAGCAGGCGAGAAAACUUUUGCAAUGUGCGAAAGCACGACAAGGUUAAUCCGAGUGUUUUCUGAUGAAGAAAUCUUUUGUUAGUUCUAAAACCACUAUCGAAUAAGGGGUGGGCAAGUUCUGGUGUCAGCCGCCGCGGUAAAACCAGCACCUCAAGUGGUCAGGAUGAUUAUUGGGCCUAAAGCAUCCGUAGCCGGCUAUGUUAGUUCUCGGUUAAAUCCAUGUGCUUAACACAUGGGCUGUCGAGAAUACUGCAUAGCUAGGGAGUGGGAGAGGUAGACGGUACUCUAUAGGAAGGGGUAAAAUCCUUUGAUCUAUAGAUGACCACCAGUGGCGAAGGCGGUCUACCAGAACACGUCCGACGGUGAGGGAUGAAAGCUGGGGGAGCAAACCGGAUUAGAUACCCGGGUAGUCCCAGCUGUAAACUAUGCAAACUCAGUGAUGCAUUGGCUUGUGGCCAGUGCAGUGCCGCAGAGAAGUCGUUAAGUUUGCCGCCUGGGAAGUACGUACGCAAGUAUGAAACUUAAAGGAAUUGGCGGGGGAGCACCACAAGGGGUGAAGCCUGCGGUUCAAUUGGAUUCAACGCCGGGA